GACCCUGAUGCUGGGAAAGAUUGAAGGCAGGAGAGAAGGGGCUGACAGAGGAUGAGAUGGUUGGGUGGCAUCACCGGCUCAAUGGACAUGAGUUUGAGCAAGCUCUGGGAAAUGGGCAAGGACAGGGAAGCCUGGCGUGCUGCAGCCCAUGGGAUCGCUAAGAGUCGGACAUGACGGAGCAACCGAAUAACAACACCACCACCACAUGGAAUUUCUUAAGCCUGAAUAUUGUCUAAAUAAAGAGAUUACUCGGGGAGAAAAAUUAGCUAGCUGCAAAAAUCUUCCAGGGUUUUAAGAGAAGUUAUUAAGCAAUCAUAGUCUUGAGCGAAUAAACUGGGCUAGUUAAAAGUCACAACUGAAUGUCAGCUCUUGUCUUGCUUGAGAAAGCUGGUAAGGGCAGUUUCUAAACCAAGGGAAUCUGACUGUUCUGUGUUCGAUUUGUUAGGUCUGGCUCAGCGUGCUGAACUCUGCUGGCAGCUGAAAGGGGAAGUCGGGGAAAAAAAGGCAAGUUCCCGGUGCAGAGGUGCUCUGCAGCAUAAAACUGGCAUUGGAGGAGCUGCCGUUGUCACGCUGUACCAGAUGGGCUUUCCUGAAGCUGCCAGGAAGGAGAGCAGUUUGUGA
rnacentral:lncRNA from 1 species